GGAUGGAGGAGAAAAGUUAGGAAAGUGCCCUGUUGUCCCUCAUGGCUCCAUUGUGUCCCCUCCCUAAGCCAUGUGCCUGGAGGACAACCUUCCCUAACAGGGGAAGAUGGGUCUUCAAUCAAGGGUAUACAAAUAGCCUCGGUCCUCUAUGAGAACCUCCAAAUAACUCUCAAAGGACAGGCCAGGAGAGUAAACGAGUCAAACUUCAGUUCACAAACUCAUACAUUAUUAUUUUUAUAUAAAAUAAUAAGAGAAU
ensembl:misc_RNA 7SK 7SK RNA